rnacentral:tRNA from 1 species
GGGGCAGUCGUCUAGCUUGGUCUAAGAUCCCAGCCUGGGGCGCUGGAGAUCGUGGGUUCAAAUCCCACCUGCCCCA